GAGUAUCGUAUAAAAAGCAAUAUCUACGAAAAUAUGUCAUUAUUUCGUUAUUGAACUCCAAAGUGUGCAGUGCGUUCGGUGUGCAGUGCGAUUCCGCCGAUGUGCAGUGAUAUAUAUUUUUUCUCAUUUUUUUUUUUGCUCUGAAAUAUAUUCCGUGCUGACGAUAGUGUGCCCAAGGAUAUGGCUAGCACGAUCGCAAUUUCUUUUGCGCCCUGGCCCCAGGACCCAGGACCAGGACCCACGACCAGGACCAAGUCAAAGCUGACGCCUCGCCUCGUCUGAGCUCUGGCCUCCCCCCUGCCUGCUGCCAGGGCAGGGAUGCCACCCAUCCCGAUCCGACUCGAUGCUGUUGCAAUAUUAUGACUCCUGCUGUUUGUUCUGACAGCCGGCUGGUUGGAUGGGGGCAGGGGCCGGGGAAAAGCGGCAAAAGAAAUGUUUAUUGUGAAGCAUUUUCUAUGGCAAUUGCAACGAGCCUGCCCCGGACCCGGCCCCGUCCCCGUCCCCGGCCCCGACAGCUCGCUCCAGCCAUUCGCAUUAAAUGAGGAAACCAAUUAUUCGCGCUUAUAAAGAUUUACCGCCAUACACUCGCGCGCACACGGAGUUAGACAGUUGGAGAUAUGGCAGAUGCGAGGCAGCCCCCUCCCCCCGCCCACUCCCCAAACGGGGAGCUCUGGGAUCUGGGAUCUGGGAUCUGGAAUCGGGGAUGGGCCUUGGUCGUGGCCUUUGUUUCGCUUCGUUUUUAAUGGGAGCACUGCUCUCUGGCCGCAGGCUCGCUGAUUAAAGCCGGCAUCAGCGCCAGCGCCAGCGAAUGCAUCGUCCUGCCACGUCCCGCCUCGUCCUGCGAGGGCAAAAGGAUGUCGAAUGGAAUUGCAACCGCAAUCCGAGCAAAGUUUCUGAACAAGACUUCUACCGAUACAGGAUACGAUAUGGGAACAGCAGUAAUUACUUAAAAAUAUCCAACCCCCCUCCCCCCCCUCCAUCUGGCGGGCGGAGGGGGGCCAUCCACUUAGCCCUAAUGCUGCCACAAUUUCCUGUUGUCCGAAAAACAUUUUCGCAACAAUUUCGCACAUUCCUGAUGGAGAUUUCCGGGCGAGGCCAAUUUGCGGGCCCACAAAGGCCUACUGCUCGAGGACCGGCGGCUGUCUGGGAGCUGUCCCUGCCCCCGGCCCCCGGCCCCUGCCCCCCGGGCAUAACUUGUCAUUUGUCUUGGACACCCCUCUCGAGUAGGGAAAAUCAGAGCAAGAUUUCGCUGAAAUUACCUUUCAUUUUGUCAUCAAAAACCACUUGAAUAGGGCGCCACGAAGACGGAAGCAGGAGUCGUCUGGCCCGGCCUGGUCCUGGUCCCGGCCUGGUCCUGUCGUUAGGGGAGUCCUGCCAGAACGGCCGCAGCAAUUACAGACGGUACGAGUAAUGUCCAGAGCCGCAGGGAGUGUCUUCGGUUUUUGGCUUAAAGCCUUUUAGCCUUGGCUUCCGGCUUGCCUUGGCUUUGGCGCUGGCUGGGGCUCCGUCUCCGUCUCCUUUUGGCUUUUGCUUUUACAGCUUUUGGCCCUUUUGUGUGUUGCAUUUCUUGAAACCGAAAGCGCAUUGGGCCAGGAGUCGAGGAGAUCUGAAACAGAAGCGUUAAAUUAAAACGUAAAUACCACUUAGCCGGGCUAUAAAGAAAGUGGCAGGUCCCGGACUCAGACCCGGACUCAGACCCGGACCCGGACCCAGACCCGGACCCGUUUCCGGCACUGUAAUCAGUGGGUAAUUAAGCGAGAGAGCGAAAAGUGAGCAGGACACCUUGAAAUUGCUUAAUUUGUGCAACCUGAUUUAAUGACUGGAGCUUCUUUCGGGCUCUCGAGCGGCCAGGAUGGUUGGGAGUCCUCCCAGCUCCCAGCUCGUAGCUCCUCCUCCUCCACAAAAGAAGCGCAAACUUCAUUUCAUGGCACGCUUAUCACGAGCCAAACCAUAAAUAAGGUUCUAAACAUUCGUUUUGACAGUUUCAUCGGCGCCCAAAGUGCAGCCACACCGAAAAAAGUACAGUCACCGCCCCCCCGGGCAGCCAACUUUUUUUGCAAGUUCUUGUCGGCACGGAGGAGGGGCGUGGGGGGGGGGAGACGAUGGGACGAUAUUGCAACUGCUGCACAAUGUGCAAAAAAUUCUAAACUGCAAUAAAUUCAUCAAAUGUGCAAUGGAACAUGCUGUAAUGUCACGCCCACUGCCCCCAUCCAUCCAUCCAUCCAGGCUGCGGGGCCCGACUGGGGGGGGGACCCGGCUGGGACCCGCUGCAUACUCCAUUAAAUGCGCUCCCCUUUUGGCCAGGAAUUGGGUGAUAUUUUGUAGGCAAAUGUGCAAUAAAUUGUAAAUGUUUGUGGGGCCUGGCUGGGUGGCGCUGCCCCUGCUGGGAUAUGGUGGGGAGCGGUGCGGUGUGCCAGCUGUGCCUCCACAGCUCCGUUGCAAAUUUGUGACGCGCCAAACGAGUCGAGUUCCUCGUAAAACUUGUCCGCUGCACGCCUGUCAACUUUUAUAAGUGUUUUUGCAGAUUGUUUUUCGUUUCGAUGACUUUUUCGGGGACACUUUGUUGGGGCGCUUAGCAGCGGCGGUGGCAUGCAGCGAAUGCAAUUUAGUGGGUGGUCGUGGUGGGUAGCCAGGGGGUCAGGGGGUCAGGGGUCGGGGGAAAACAAAUUUUGUUAGAGCCCUGAAUGGGUCAAUCAAUGGAUUGCUCUUAAACCAUUUUAAAUAAAUAUUAAGGGUACUCCCGCGACCCCCGGCUCACUCGCCGGCCCUAAAGCGAUGUUCCAUUCAUUGAUCUUC